UAACCUUAGUAACACAGAACGUAUAUAUAACGUUAGCCUAUGGUUCUCUGAAGGUUAGUUAGAACCUAGCCAGUAAAGAAAGUUAAGGAGAAGGCGCCCAUGGCCUUAUUCACUCACUGUUAUGCACGUCGUCCUAAUUGAGUUCUGACUCAAGGGGCCUCAGAGCUCAAACGGUGAAAGGUCUGUUUGCCAACCUGGAUGGCCGCGCCGCGUUCUUCUCCAGAUCCCCAAUGCAAAAAGCAUGAAGACUGCAGCCUGUGAACGGAGAGUUGAGCUGAAGCAGUGGUUUGAUCACGUGUUAACGGAGCGCCAUGAUGAGGACACUUCCAUGUGCUUUGUGCAUGUGGAUUUAAUGCACACCUGAAUGAUUUUGAGUUUUGUUUUGGGACAAAUCCAGUGAGGAAACAGUGCGCAUGCGUGCGCAGAGGCGACCUGCCGGCACACGACCAACAGCUUCACAUCAGCAUUCUUUCCCAGAUACGGAAUCGAUUUCAGGACCACGACAUGUUGAUGUUUCUCUCCCUUCUCGACCAGCACGUCCAGGCAUACAGGGAAAAGCAAGCGUUCUCCAGCCUGACACGGAGCCGCGGAACAAGGUCUGCCGAGACUUCUUCAGACCUCCAUGUGAUGUGUGCCAUGGCUGAUUUUGAAGGGAAGACUCGCUGAGCGUAUGGGACAGCUUUACGCACUGGCCUGUCCCCGUGUCCGCUGCUGGACUGGACAGACACGGCUUUGGGCCUCCAUGUCCACAGAAAAGGACUUAUUGAUGGAACUGAAACGCACGGAUAAACUACAGCAGAGCCGUUGAAGUCUUCUUGAGGACAGAGAGGAGGACAAGCAGGUGCUGCGGAGGAGAUCCGUGUCGAAACACGACUUCAGACAGCGUCCUGAACACAGUCCAGGUGGUGCAGGUGGUGCUCUGUUGUUUCUACUCUCGACAUGCGGCGUGGAGGCUGGAAAGUCUGCGUAUCAGCGUGGCCUCCAAAACCCUGAGGAGAAGCGACGGAUCCUGGUCCUGUGGGCGGAGCAGCUCCUGACCGACGGCGCCCAGCAGCAGGCGGUGGAAGUCGUCCCGCUCCAGGAGCCGAUCCAUGUUCUGCAGGAAGAAUCCUUCACAGAACCUGCAGAGUUCAGCUCCUCCGUGGAGCUGCAAACAACAAACGCAACGCAAAGUCAGCAGGCGCACUGGUGUGGACCAGAAGCACAGCCGGCCACCAGGGGGCGCUCCUGGUGCUUCAGCUGCGUGUCAUCCAUCUUUACAUACACGGCUGAACUGUGCACAGGUCUACUUGUCCGGUGCAGAGGAAAGUUGUCUCGUGUUGCUGUACCUUGGCGGCCUUGUAGACGUCGACGACAGUGUCCGGGGUCAGAGUCUGGGACAGCUUCGUCUCACAGCACCUCUGCAGCGCUCUGAGCUGGAAGAAAGACGCCACUGGCAGCAGCUGCAAACACACACAAGAGCUCCAUGAACUCAUGAAGGUGACUUGAUGUUGAUUCGGACCUGUUGUGAUUCUGAACAAGGAGCAGCAUAACUGCCCACAGAAAUACAUCCGUCCAGGAGAACAUCAACACGUGUGGGUGUGGCCGGGCAGGUGAGAGACUGUACCUUCAUGGCUUCAGACUGCGAGACCGUCAGUCCUUCGGUCCCUCCACAGUACAGAGACUUCAUCAUCAUCUAGAGAGGAACAUACACACCUGAGUGUGGGCCAGCAGUCACAUCAACAGGUCAGGGGGCAAGUGAGCAUCCUACCUGGAAGGUGCUGUAGGUCAUGUGACUGAUGUGGAUGACGUCAUCAGGGGAAUCGCAGAGCAUCUGUCGGAACCUGACGCAUGACAGGAUGAGAGUUUUACUUUGUGGCACUUUGUUAUUGUGACACAUUUUCAGUGUGUAAGCUUCACAACUGGAUGUCUAAAAGUACUUUUUAAGUGCACUUUAAGUCACUCCUAUAAGGUUUUAUGUUAACACAGUCCAACAGAGGAACAGUCAUGAAGCAUCAUGAAUGCUUUAUGAUACACUAUGAAAGCUGCCAUAAUGCACUAAAGAUGACAUGUGGUCUUCACAGAAAGUCUCAGUAAAUGCUUUUAUGAACUUAGUAAAACAAAAUGAAAUCAAAUAAUAUUUACUAAUGAUAAUAAUUGAGUGGAAAUGAGAAUAUAAAACCAUAAAAGUGGAAACAAAUAAAGUCCCGUUCACAGCUGUAAUCUGGAUGGUUGGGUUGUUUUUAAAUAAAAAGAUUAUUA